UUUUUAGGUGCUGAAGUGAUGAAUAAUAUACCAAAAGACAAUAAAACCCAUGUAGAAUAUUCAUAUUUCCUUACAGCAAAGAGCACAUCUUUGUCUAACACCACAUCUACCUUCCUCAAGGACCAGGAACGCAGACCCCUCCACGACACAGCUGUGAAAGCAUACCUCUAAAGCAGGAAUUUUUGGAGAAGCAGUGCAACCAAGCAAUCUGGAGACAGAGGAGAGCCAGCAGAAGGACAGAGUUACUUCAGGGGAUUUUUGAGAGCUGGCUGGGCCCGCUACCACCAAAGAGAGAACAAGAGUCUGCAGCACAGAUCAGUGAUCAAGACAGCCACGGGGCAGCCACGUCUUCUGCAAUGCCCAUGUCUGCUCAGGCAGGCAAUUCAUCUGAACCUGACUGCUUCUUCAGCCUUCUGGAACGACCUCGUGUGGGCACAGAAGAGGAUCAUUAUAUUGACAGCAGCUACUAGAGAGAACUGAGCUAUGAGAGCAGCAAGAACAACAUGUGGACAUUUUGUGGAGGACUUAAAUGAGAGUUCUGAAUGAAAGAUUUUUCUGGGUCACCUAAUCUGGGCCUGGAGUGUACCAGUUGAUUGUUUUCCACUGCUAAAUGUAGCUGGAUGAUGGCAGC